UACGGAGGAUUCAAGCGUUAUCCGGAUUUAUUGGGUUUAAAGGGUGCGUAGGCGUCGGAUAAGUUAGAGGUGAAAUCCCGGGGCUCAACUUCGGAAUUGCCUCUGAUACUGUUCGGCUAGAGAGUAGUUGCGGUAGGCGGAAUGUAUGGUGUAGCGGUGAAAUGCUUAGAGAUCAUACAGAACACCGAUUGCGAAGGCAGCUUACCAAGCUACUUCUGACGUUGAGGCACGAAAGCGUGGGGAGCAAACAGG
rnacentral:rRNA from 1 species